rnacentral:rRNA from 1 species
ACGUAGGUGGCAAGCGUUGUCCGGAUUUACUGGGUGUAAAGGGCGCGUAGGCGGGAUUACAAGUCAGAUGUGAAAUGCCAGGGCUUAACCCUGGAGCUGCAUUUGAUACUGUAGGUCUUGAGUAUCGGUGAGGUAGCUGGAAUGUGUAAUGUAGCGGUGAAAUGCUUAGAGAUGAGACGGAACACCAGCGGCGAAGGCAGGUUACCAACCCAUUACUGACGCUGAGGCGCGAAAGCGUGGGGAUCAAACAG